rnacentral:rRNA from 1 species
GUACGACGGAGCACGUGAAAUUCCGUCGGAAUCUGGGAGGACCAUCUCCUAAGGCUAAAUACUCUCUAGUGACCGAUAGUGAACCAGUACCGUGAGGGAAAGGUGAAAAGCACCCCGGAAGGGGAGUGAAAUAGAACCUGAAACCGUGUGCUUACAAGUAGUCAGAGCCCGUUAAUGGGUGAUGGCGUGCCUUUUGUAGAAUGAACCGGCGAGUUACGAUUUGAUGCAAGGUUAAGCAGUAAAUGUGGAGCCGUAGCGAAAGCGAGUCUGAAUAGGGCGUUUAGUAUUUGGUCGUAGACCCGAAACCAGGUGAUCUACCCUUGGUCAGGUUGAAGUUCAGGUAACACUGAAUGGAGGACCGAACCGACUUACGUUGAAAAGUGAGCGGAUGAACUGAGGGUAGCGGAGAAAUUCCAAUCGAACCUGGAGAUAGCUGGUUCUCUCCGAAAUAGCUUUAGGGCUAGCCUCAAGUGAUGAUUAUUGGAGGUAGAGCACUGUUUGGACGAGGGGCCCCUCUCGGGUUACCGAAUUCAGACAAACUCCGAAUGCCAAUUAAUUUAACUUGGGAGUCAGAACAUGGGUGAUAAGGUCCGUGUUCGAAAGGGAAACAGCCCAGACCACCAGCUAAGGUCCCAAAAUAUAUGUUAAGUGGAAAAGGAUGUGGCGUUGCCCAGACAACUAGGAUGUUGGCUUAGAAGCAGCCAUCAUUUAAAGAGUGCGUAAUAGCUCACUAGUCGAGUGACACUGCGCCGAAAAUGUACCGGGGCUAAACAUAUUACCGAAGCUGUGGAUUGUCCUUUGGACAAUGGUAGGAGAGCGUUCUAAGGGCGUUGAAGCAUGAUCGUAAGGACAUGUGGAGCGCUUAGAAGUGAGAAUGCCGGUGUGAGUAGCGAAAGACGGGUGAGAAUCCCGUCCACCGAUUGACUAAGGUUUCCAGAGGAAGGCUCGUCCGCUCUGGGUUAGUCGGGUCCUAAGCUGAGGCCGACAGGCGUAGGCGAUGGAUAACAGGUUGAUAUUCCUGUACCACCUAUAAUCGUUUUAAUCGAUGGGGGGACGCAGUAGGAUAGGCGAAGCGUGCGAUUGGAUUGCACGUCU